GUAAGGAAUAUUGGACAAUGGAGGCAACUCUGAUCCAGCCAUGCCGCGUGAAGGAAUAAGGCCCUAUGGGUUGUAAACUUCUUUUAGACGGGACAAAACCCCUUUACGUGUAAAGGGUUGAUGGUACUGUCAGAAUAAGCAUCGGCUAACUUCGUGCCAGCAGCCGCGGUAAUACGAAGGAUGCAAGCGUUAUCCGGAAUUAUUGGGUUUAAAGGGUGCGUAGGCGGACUAAUAAGUCAGUGGUGAAAGCCUGCAGCUUAACUGCAGAAUUGCCAUUGAUACUGUUAGUCUUGAGUACAGUUGAGGUAGGCGGAAUGUGUCAUGUAGCGGUGAAAUGCUUAGAUAUGACACAGAACACCGAUUGCGAAGGCAGCUUGCUAAGCUGUAACUGACGCUGAGGCGCGAAAGCGUGGGGAGCAAACA
rnacentral:rRNA from 1 species